rnacentral:rRNA from 1 species
UUCGCCUACGGGACGCAGCAGUGGGGAAUAUUGCACAAUGGGGGAAACCCUGAUGCAGCGACGCCGCGUGAGUGAAGAAGUAUUUCGGUAUGUAAAGCUCUAUCGGCAGGGAAGAAGAUGACGGUACCUGACCAAGAAGCCCCGGCUAACUACGUGCCAGCAGCCGCGGUAAUACGUAGGGGGCAAGCGUUAUCCGGAUUUACUGGGUGUAAAGGGGGCGCAGACGGCAAUGCAAGCCAGGAGUGAAAGCCCGGGGCCCAACCCCGGGACUGCUCUUGGAACU